GAAUGGAGAGCGAAGAUGAGACAAACACUAGUUUAGCUGCCUGCUCGUUUACUUCCACAGGAAUUAUAAAGCAGACAGUUCUUCAAGGAUAUCGAAAAUGAGCCACGGUCGUAAAUGCAGUGUUCCAGGCUGAAACUUAGGCUACAAAGAAAGCUGAGACUUUCCAUAGUCUUCUCAGGGAUUCAAAAGUUCGAGGGGCAUGGAUAAUGUUUUUCUACCAGAAGAUCCCUGAAAAGUUCGACACUCCGUUAUUAAUUUGCAAAACAAUUCACCGAAGGCAGUUUUCAAAACCUUGUACAGUUAAGCAGGAUUUGCUAAGCUGCUGUUACUGAAACGAGGGGCUGACGACCGUAAGGUCAUCAUACAACCGCAUGCUGUUUUAUCUAGCAGCCAUGCACUUCAGUGAGUGAGUCCCCACAACAGAAGACGGCCAAGGAGAAACUAUGUACAGACUUGCCAAACAAUUUAUCAUCAAAGACCCUCUUCCUUAUUGGGAUGCCGUCCAGCGGAUUCCUGUGCCCCAGGACUUGUGUGCUCAGCUUGACAGACCUUCCAUGGAGGAUGCUAUUGCUGAACAUGUGUCACGGUUCAGUCGAAAAGGGGUCUGAAUCCAACGUACUGCCCUGAAGUAUCCGGAAGCUCCCUCCAUAUGCGUAGCACCUCCAACAAGGGGAUCAUGACACGGAGGCUUCUUCUAAGGAAAUCCCAGCUCCUGCUCACAAAAGACCUGUAGGCCAAGUCACUUCAUUGCCUGCAACGAGAACAGGGUGGAAAAGCAAAUGUUUUUUACUAUUUAUUUUUUUAUAUUUUACAUCAGAGUAUCACUGGACGAUUGUUGGGGGAAAAAAAGUUUAUCAUUUUGUGGUGUUGAUCAAACUGUGUUUUUGCAAUAUGCUGAACCAAAAAUGAAUGUGUAUUGGUUAAAAAUAUUUUAUUUAUAUACUGUAACUGCUAACACUUGUAUCAGAUUGUCCUCGCCUUUCCAUUCCUCUGAUUCCCAAACGGCCAUGGUCAGCUCUGUAAAUAUUCAUUGCAUUUUGCAAAGAAUAUAGAGGCACAACGGAUUGAGGCCAUGAUGGUCAUUCAGGUCAGCUCCUCAGGAACCUGGGUCAUUCUUUUAAUAACCUGUAA